GAUGAAGAACGCAGCGAAAUGCGAUAAGUAUGUGAAUUGCAGAAUUCAGUGAAUCAUCGAAUCUUUGAACGCACAUUGCGCCCCUUGGUAUUCCGAGGGGCAUGCCUGUUCGAGCGUCAUUAUAACCCCUCAAGCUCAGCUUGGUGUUGGGGCCUGCUGCACUGGCAGCCCUUAAAAUCAGUGGCGGCGCCAUCUGGCUCUAAGCGUAGUAAUUCUUCUCGCUAUGGAGUCCUGGUGGAUGCUUGCCAUCAACCCCCAAUUUUUCUAUGGUUGACCUCGGAUCAGGUAGGGAUACCCGCUGAACUUAAGCAUAUCAAUAAGCGGAGGA
rnacentral:misc_RNA from 1 species